rnacentral:rRNA from 1 species
UACGUAGGGUGCAAGCGUUGUCCGGAAUUAUUGGGCGUAAAGAGCUCGUAGGCGGCCUGUCGCGUCGGCUGUGAAAAACCCCGGGGGCUUAACCCCCGGGGCGCAGUGGAUACGGGCAGGCGUGGAGGCAGGCAGGGGGAGAAUGGAAUUCCCCGGUGUAGCGGUGAAAUGCGCAGAUAUCGGGGAGGAACACCGGUGGCGAAGGCGACUACCUGGACCAGCACUGACACUGAGGCACGAAAGCGUGGGGAGCAAACAGG